rnacentral:lncRNA from 1 species
UUAGGUUUAACACAGUUUAACGUAAGCAAGUUAGAUUUAAUAAUGGCAUUCUAAAAUAGCACCGAUUCCAACCGAUAAAACAUUCAAUUUUGAUUUCUUAAAGAAUACAGAAAGUGUAAUGUCAAAUGAAUAUCUACAAAAUGUGAAAACGAUAAUUACACAUAUUCAAUAACAAAUUCUAGUCAAACACAAUGAAAUGUCUAUAGAAAUAAUAAAAGAUUGUUAAGAAGAUGAGAGUAUCAAAUAAAUAUGUCAAUAUUGACAAUUUGUACUGGAAACUUGCAUGGUGAAAAAUAUAAUCUUUCCAUGAUGUCUGAAAAUCUUCUAGAAUCAUGUAGGCGUUGAUUUACAUUUUUUAAUCGUAAAUAACUGUUAUAUAUACAUGGAAUUCACCCUAUUUUCAUUAUUGUGGAGUGUGUACAAUUAGCGAAAUAUGUACAAACAGAAUAAUGAAAUAAUAAUUUAUUAAUGUUGACAAAAGCAAUGAGAAUUUUUAAUAUUUGAUAAUAUAAUAAAUAAGUUAUUUUUUUUUAAAGGAACAAGAGUAUAUGUCCGCGUGAAUAUAAACAAUUAUUUUAAAACAAAAAUACAACAGCAACAACAAUAACAUAAUUUCUAAACAUGCGAGUCGUUUGAGAUAAUCUUUCGCAGUCUUCUUAGCAUGCAUUAAGUUGCAUAUCUUCGAAUAAAAUAAAAAUUCUUGAAAGAAAA